CUCCACCCAGGCCGGAUCGACGCGCCACCCGCCUAUCUCCGCGUCGGCCUCACCCGCACCCGCCUCUAUUACAGCAAGGACCUUGCGAACGCUCAAUAAAAUCAUGUCUUUUUCGCCGCCGCCAACAUCCAGGCGACCAACGCCCAAACAUCCCUGACGGAUACCACAACCACGCCCCGUGCUGCCGGACUGCUACCUCCCUGACAACGUUCUGAAGCUGCCGGCACGGCUUCCCAGGCCCUGGAGCACCACACUGCCUGGCGUGGUCCUAGACUGGUGCUGCUCUCCCAUGCCGGCGAGCCAUCGUCGCCUAUCCGCACACUGGUAUUAGCAUCGGCAAAUAUCCAUCUGAGAACAAGGAUUUAGACUAGAUGAUGCAUCACUUGGAAGGAAGCAAUAGCUGCUGCAGCCUGAUGCAUGACUUGUCAGGAAGGAAGCUGUAAGACCCCGGGGAAAAGAAGAUGGCAUAUACACGCCUUGCUCCAGCCAGCUCUAUGCACAUCUUUCUUUUUAGCGCCUUAAUUAUCUAUGCGAUCAUAUGGUUAUAAUGCAUGAGCAGCUGAGGUUUCAGAUGCCAGAGGAUCUUCUAACACAGCGGCAUGUGUUUUAUUUAUGUAACCUCCUGGGAGAAACUUCGGUUCUGAUCGAUGUGCACCAGCUUGUCCUUGACGUUGAUUGUUGGGUAGUUUUUACGUUGAUGAUUAAACUUGUGGUAGUAGAGUUGAUUGUACUCCCUCGGUUACCUAUUAAUUGACUCUUGUCAGAGUGUUUUGUAU